UACGUAGGGGGCUAGCGUUGUCCGGAAUCAUUGGGCGUAAAGAGCGUGUAGGCGGUCCGGUAAGUCAGCUGUGAAAGUCAAGGGCUCAACCCUUGAAUGCCGGUUGAUACUGUCGGGCUAGAGUCCGGAAGAGGCGAGUGGAAUUCCCGGUGUAGCGGUGAAAUGCGCAGAUAUCGGGAGGAACACCAUGGCGAAGGCAGCUCGCUGGGACGGUACUGACGCUGAGACGCGAAAGCGUGGGGAGCAACAGGAUAGAAACCUUGU
rnacentral:rRNA from 1 species